rnacentral:rRNA from 1 species
UACGUAGGGGGCUAGCGUUGUCCGGAUUUAUUGGGCGUAAAGAGCUCGUAGGUGGUUCGGUAAGUCGGAUGUGAAAUCUCCAGGCUCAACCUGGAGGGGUCAUUCGAUACUGCCGUGACUAGAGUUCGGUAGAGGAGUGUGGAAUUCCUGGUGGAGCGGUGAAAUGCGCAGAGAUCAGGAGGAACACCCGUAGCGAAGGCGGCGACCUGGGUCGAUACUGACGCUGAGGUGCGAAAGCGUGGGGAGCAAACAGG